AUUUCCUACGGGACGCAGCAGUGAGGAAUAUUGGUCAAUGGCCGCAGGGCUGAACCAGCCAAGUCGCGUGAGGGAUGACGGUCCUAUGGACUGUAAACCUCUUUUGUCAGGGAGCAAAGGGCGCCACGUGUGGCGCUUUGCGAGUACCUGAAGAAAAAGCAUCGGCUAACUCCGUGCCAGCAGCCGCGGUAAUACGGAGGAUGCGAGCGUUAUCCGGAUUUAUUGGGGUUAAAGGGUGCGCAGGCGGAAUGUCAAGUCAGCGGUAAAAUUUCGGGGCUCAACCCCGUCGUGCCGUGGAAACUGGG
rnacentral:rRNA from 1 species